CCGGAUCUCCCCGGUGGUGUUAAUAUCUCGCUGGGGCCUCCAAAAUGUUGUACCCAGGGGUGUUAGAGAAAACACUGCACUUUGAGAUAAAUUAAGAGUCGUGUAUUAG
rnacentral:pre_miRNA from 8 species